CACCAGUGAGACUAGUGUUAUUCAUCUUAAUUAGGUUUAAAGGGUACCUAGACUGUAGAUUAAGCCAUUAAACUUUUUAAGUUUAAUCUUUAUAAAACUACAGUAAUGUAUGGUUUUUAUAUAAGAGGUACUAAUUUACUAGAGUUUUAUAUUAGAAGGGGAGUAUUUGAGAGCGUCAGGGAUGAAAUCUAAUCAGACCUUAUUUGAACUUAUAACGGCGAAGGCAACCUUUUAUCUAAAUACUAACGUUGAGGGACGAAGCCUCGAUACACCAAAAGG
rnacentral:rRNA from 1 species